rnacentral:rRNA from 1 species
UACAGAGGGUGCAAGCGUUGUUCGGAAUUAUUGGGCGUAAAGCGCGUGUAGGCGGCUUUGCAAGUCGGGUGUGAAAGCCCUCAGCUCAACUGAGGAAGUGCGCCCGAAACUGCAGAGCUUGAGUGCCGGAGAGGGUGGCGGAAUUCCCCAAGUAGAGGUGAAAUUCGUAGAUAUCUGGAGGAACACCGGUGGCGAAGGCGGCAUCCUGGACCGACACUGACACUGAGGAGCGAAAGCCAGGGGAGCAAACGGG